UACGAGGGGGGCGAGCGUUGUUCGGAAUUAUUGGGCGUAAAGGGUGCGUAGGCGGUUCCGCAAGUCCUGUGUGAAAUCUUCGGGCUCAACUCGAAGUCUGCACGGGAAACUGCGGGGCUUGAGUGUGGGAGAGGUGAGUGGAAUUCCUGGUGUAGCGGUGAAAUGCGUAGAUAUCAGGAGGAACACCUGUGGUGUAGACAGCUUACUGGACCACUUCUGACGCUGAGACACGAAAGCGUGGGUAGCAAACAGG
rnacentral:rRNA from 1 species